CCUACGGGUGGCAGCAGUAGGGAAUAUUGCUCAAUGGGGGAAACCCUGAAGCAGCAACGCCGCGUGGAGGAUGACGGUUUUCUGGGUGUAAACUCCUUUUUUUAGAGAAGAUAAUGACGGUAUCUAACGAAUAAUCCCCGGCUCACUCCGUGCCAGCCGCCGCGGUAAUACGGAGGGUGCAAGCGUUACUCGGAAUCACUGGGCGUAAGGCGCGCGUAGGCGGGUGAGCAAGUCAGAUGUGAAAUCCUAUGGCUUAACCAUAGAACUGCCUUUGAAACUGUUAUUCUAGAGUAUGGGAGAGGUAGGUGGAAUGCGUGGUGUAGGGGUAAAAUCCGUAGAGAUCAAGAGGAAUACUCAUUGCGAAGGCGACCUGCUAGAACAUAACUGACGCUGAUGCGCGAAAGCGUGGGGAGCAAACAGGAUUAGAUACCCCAGUAGUC
rnacentral:rRNA from 1 species